AAAUGCUUCCUCAACCGAUCUUCCUUCUCCCUCUUCCUCGUCUUCUUCAAACCUCUUUUCCAAAAUUCUAGAACGGUUCCAUCUCGGGUUUCUCUUCUUCCUCCACUAGUCAAUUAAUAUUUCUACUUGAUUUUUUGUUUCUUUCGUUUUUGCUAUAUAGUUUUUGUGGUCCUAGCUGAAUUGAACUUCUUUGCAUUUCUUUUGGAUGGAUAAUUUUGAAAUGUUUUGAAUGUUUUUGGCUUUUCCAUUGGGAAGUUGUAGAGGUUGCUAGUUCAAGUGACAGGGGUUUUGUAAGAGGAGAUAAUUAUUAAAACAUUUUGGCUUUAAGUCAGUUAGAUCAUUUGCCAGAAUUGAAGAGGAUUUUAUCUGUAAUUACAAUGUUGAGAAUGGUUUAAGGUUAGUCUGAUAUGAUUAUAAAUUGUUGCUUUAUAUAUAUUUGUAGGUUUUCUUCUCAACUUGGAAGAAAACAUUCUUCUGCUUUCAUUUUGCCAUUUUUCAGUUGUUAUUUAUGCAAUGUUUUGGAACUCUUUUUUAUCAUUUUGAGAGUUCAAAGGGUUCUUAUGCACUUUUAUGAUAAUUUUGAAUGUCAAAGUAGUUUGUUGCUUUAUCUUGGCAUCCAAAUAUAGUAUAUGAGUUAUAACUCUUCUUUUAUUGACUUCUUUGUUUUAGUAUAGUUAUUAAGUUCCCCCUUUCCCACCCCAUCUUUGGACUAAGUUUAAGUUCUUGAGUUGUAUAUCUCCUGUUGCUUUGUUUCGCUAGAGUUUCCAUUUUGUUAGUUUAUGCACUUGGGUUACUUUCAUGUGUAUUUUGGUACAUCACAUAUAUGUCUUUCUUCCAUUAUUUCAUGAGCAUUGUUUAUGUUGGUUGUUUGUUAUCAUCCUCUUAUAGUAUUAGCUUUCAUACCAUAUAUUUUUAGUGCAACGUUUGCAUUUUUUUAGUUCAACGUUUGCAUUGAAAACGUUUGCAUUUUCAAUAGAAAUAUCUAUAAGUCAUGUUCCUGUAAACAUAAACAACUUUCAUACAUAAUCAUCGUUGUUUCAAACAUAACAUAUUAUUUACUUCGUAAGAUACGAAUAUUUUAAAUAAAAUACAUAAAUAAAUUGAUAUAAAACAUUUCAUUCAUAAAAUACACACUGCAUUAUUCAAUUUAUAUACUAUAAUCACGUAGAAUAUAUGAAAUACAAGACAAAACGAAAGAAAAAAUGGAUGGAGUGAAAGGUUGGAAAGUGAGAGAGAAAUCAGGAGAGAAUAACUUUUGAACAAAAUCAUCCAAAGAAAAAUAAUUAAGGAGGAGUAAUUUUGAUUGUAGUAUUAACCUAAUGGAAUUAAUCACUUACAACAUUUACAUUGGAUAUCUAAUAAAUACAACUUUUUUUCCUACUUUUUAAUAUAUUAUUAAUAAUAAAUAAAUUGAUAUUUAGGAUAUUUAUGAAAAAUUUAAGGGAAAUUGCAUUUUAGACCAUAGUAGUUAAAAUCUCUUUUUUAUUAAGCUUCAAUUACCCUCUUGGUUAGAAAAUGAUACUUUAUAUAUUGAGGACGGGUAGAUUUUCAUCUCUUGAAAAGGCCCAAAAGACUCUCUUGUUGGGCCUUUAUAAAACAAAUGUGGCCCAAUUAUUGACUAAGUUAGCCACGUAUUUCCGUAUCUGGAUAGGACAUGUAUUUCCCCAUCCCAAAUAGGACAAUCGCAAAUUUAACAAUUAAAUUCAAACUAAUUAAGUAUAUAGCAUAAUUUUAAAAAAAUUGCAAAUAUAACAAAUUUUGUCAAAUUCUAUCACUGAUAGAUCAUGUUGUAAAUAUUAGUCUAUCACUGAUAUACCAUAUGAAGUCUAUCACCGAUACAAAUCUAUCAGUGAUAGUUUUGUUAUAUUUGUAAUUUUUUUAAAAUAUUGUUAUAUUCUUAAUUAUUAUUGCUAAAAUAGUCAUCCAUUGCAAUUUCCCACAAUAUUAAUGUCACGAGAAAACUUAGGAUGUAAUUAUUUUGUUAGAAUGUUGUUAAAUAAUAAAUAUAACAUUUCAUUGCGCUAACAUCACAAAAAUGGUUAAAUUGAUAAAUGCAAAAAACAAUUUAACACAAUGGAAAUUAUUAAUAAUAAUUAACUAUGGUUUAGAAACCUAACAACAAUCAAGAAUUGUUAAUCUAAAGUAUAGAUUAUCAUUUACCAAAUCUUUAUACCUAAUACACAUAUGAUCAAUUCUUACAUUUUCUUUUUCUAAUUUAGUUGACACACUUUCUUUUAAACUAUUGUUAUAAAGUAAUGCCAUGCAUUUUAAAAGAUUUAACCAAACAAAAAAAAAAAAAAAAAAAAAAAGGAAAAACUAAAAAUUAAGAACUUGUAUGCAUCCAAUCUCCAAAACAAAUUCUAAAAUUGUUACAACUUCUCUCUAUUUUAAAUGGAAUUUAUUAGAUCAAAUAAAUUUUAGUCCAUAGCAUUUACACGAUCAUCUUGUUAAGAAGUGUACUGUUGAAGUGGGUACCAAGUUCAGAGCCUCUCCUCUUGUACUAUUGUGGUGUCGCUAGAGCUGACAUAUAAGAGUAGUUGCACACUCUUUCACAGUUGUGGUAAAGAGUCAAACAUACUUUGAUGUCCAAAAUUAGUACACAUAGUAUUUAGUUAUACUGUGAAACAAUUUUUACUCGUUGAAGUUAAUUCUGUAGGGGCCAUAUUUAUAAGAUUAUUCUUGGACCAUCACUUGGAAUAUAUAUAUAUAUAUAUAUAAUAAUAUCAGUUAGAUGUAGCCAUCGAUAUGGAUGUAGAAUGUUGAUCAAACCAAAACUUGAGAAUUUGACUUUUUCUUUGAGACGUGUGAACUAUCAUGCCGUCUCCGGGACACUUUUGACUUGGGUCUCUUCCGUGGAUAACCUGUGACAAACUGUUACAAUUUGGAAAACAAUGAAUAGGUUUAAAUGAAAGAAGAAAAACAAAGGAAAAGUAGCUAAUCUUCAUGCAAUGCCUUUUUGACUUCUUUAAGUAAAGUGAGGGUGCAUAAAUGGCAUAUCCAUGCAUGCCGGAGGAAUCUACUCCGUCACCGGAAAUAUAAUUUCGAAACGGCCACUUUGACCUAAUGAGUGAGUGGUGGGUCAACAUUCAAAAAGGUUGUGUUUGUUAUGUAUUAUUGGAAAUCCGGUCGGGCUGGUCGGUUUUCAACAUCUCAGAAAAGUACAAUUCAUGGUCUAAACUUAAACCGACCAAUAGCCCAUUUUCCACACUCUUUGACAAUGGGAUUCCAUCCUCCAUCAUUAUUUCCCUCCAAAUUCCUUACAAGUUAGAAGGAAUUUCAAUAUAUAUAUGUCGAUGUGGACACAAUAUAUGCAUAUGUUUGUAAUUUACAGUAAUGUUAUGAAAUCAAGGAGAGAGAAAAGAAAGUUAGUUGAGGAAGAAGAUAAGGAUGAAAAGGGAAGGAAGGAAGGUGAGAGGAAAAUGCAUAUAUAUGCUUCUGGAUAUAUACCAUUUAUUUAUGACUAUCACAAACAAAAAACCCAAAAACCAAUGCAAAGAAAAAAAUAGAAAGUGUGUUUGUGUUUCUUUUAUUAUUAUUGUUAACUCUCUC
rnacentral:lncRNA from 1 species